GUAUCGGUGGUUUAGUGGUAAAAUCCCUGCUUGCCAUGCAGGGGCCCCGGGUUCGAUUCCCGGCCGAUGCA
rnacentral:tRNA from 1 species